UACGUAGGGGGCAAGCGUUGUCCGGAAUCAUUUGGCGUAAAGCGCUUGUAGGCGGCCUUGUAAUUCCGUUCUGAAAGUCCGGGGCUCAACCCCGGGAGGCGGAUGGAUACUGCAAGGCUCGAGUCCGGAAGAGGCAAGUGGAAUUCCCGGUGUAGUGGUGGAAUGCGUAGAUAUCGGGAGGAACACCAGUGGCGAAGGCGGUUGCCUGGAGCUUUGCUGACGCUGAGGCGCGAAAGCGUGGGGAGCGAGCCGG
rnacentral:rRNA from 1 species